UACAUAUUUACAUGUUUCUACUUUUAAUCGGUUUUGUUCGGUUUAUUCGGUUUAAUCGGUUAUCUACCAAACCAUAUCCAAAUCCUACGGUUUUUAUAAAAUUAUAUCCAUUCGGUUUAUAUGGUAUAUACCAAAACCAAACCAUAUUAUCUAUUUCGGUUCGGUUCGGUUCGGUACGGUUCGGUUUUACCAUAUUGAACAGCCCUAGUGAAAUCCGUCUUUAAAUACAAUUUGUGUUUUAUUUUUAGUUUAUCGUUUCUUGCUUGCAUUAACUAUUUUAACUCGGCGGGAAUGAAAAUUUAAAGGCUUCAAACAAAGUUGACAUUUUCAUUAAUAGUUGUAACAAUCAAACAAAUGAGAAAAAUGGUUUCCAAAUGAGUGUAGACUUUAUACUACUAACCUUUUCUUUUGUUUACAAAAAAAAAAGAGUGUAGACGGGUGGAGAAUGACUUGGUCUAUUGAAAGGAAUUUCUUUGUCUAUCCGGUGCAAAACUAUGAGAGGGGUGACAAGCAAACAUAAUGAUUGAAUCAUUGAAUUAAUAUUGAAUAUGAUAAUGAUGAGUUUAUGACUUCGUCAACUUUUACUUUGAAUAAUGUUUGGUCGUGAUGGUAAAUGAUGACUAUAUGAACAGUUUUGUAAAGAAAUGAAAGACUAUAUAGUCAAUAUCCAUAUAUUAGUUUAUAUCUAGCAAAUUAUCUCUAGUUUUAAUGCAUAUACUGGUUUCAUUGCCUAACAAGAAAACUGUAAUACAUGAUAAUUUCAUAACAACUAAAAUAAAUGUGCUUUAUGCAAACGGCAAGAAACAAAAAUACAACAUCAAAUAGCAUCUUAUGUACGUACUUGGUUAAUUAACAACUUUCUUAAAAGCUAAAGAAUCUUAUGUACUUCUGACAUACAUGCUUGAGAGUUUCAUUUGAUUACCAACUUGCUUCAGAAUUACGAACUGUUAUUUUAGGGUCAGUACGAAAUCCUCUCACUGAGUGGAUCUUAUAUUCGGGGCGAACAUAGUGGCCUUAGCGUUUGUUUAUCUAUGUUAGAAUUGGGGUUUAUUAUGGGUUGGUUUAUUAUGGGCUUCCAACUCAAAACCAAUUGGCUAUUAGUGGAUUGACCCUAACCCUUUAUAUAGUAGUAAAUUAAUUCUUAUAUUUCCGAUGUGGGAUGUUUCUCAUCAAUAUCCUCCCUCACGCUCAGACAUCUAGGUCUGAAGCGUGGACAAUGUGGGAAUAACAUCCACAGAGGGCCCAACAUCGGUUUAGUAGUAGUAGUUGUAGUAAAUUAGAUCAAAGGAUCUUAUCGCUCUGAUACCAUGUUAGAAUUAGGGUUUAUUAUGGGCUUCCAACUCAAAACCAAUUGGCUAUUAGUGGAUUGACCCUAACCCUUUAUAUAGUAGUAGAUUAAUUCUUAUAUUUCCGAUGUGGGAUGUUUCUCAUCAAUAAUCUAGUUCAGAUGGUCAGAUCGUUGGUGGAGGAGUUGGGGGAGUACUCCUAAAGCCUGCUGGUCUAGUUCAGGAAUGAGAGGAAAUGGUUCAGCAGAUAAUGGAGAAUAUGAGUAAAUGGCUAAAAUUAGUACUGAUUCAAGUUUUUGAAGAAAAGUGUGUAGAGGUUUGGGCAUAAAUGAAGGUGAGAGUGGGCAUAAUGUCUGAAGGAUUUUUUUCAUGCAAAGGCAGAGUGAGAGUGAGAAAGAGCAGAGAAAACAGUGAUGCUUUUGUUCUUGGUUCAUUGUAAUAUUUUAGGAACUUCACAUUCUCGUUUUAUCUUUCUUGAGUUCUUUUUCUUCAUAUAAUCCGUUUUUUUUUUCUUGCUGAGCGUUUUUUCUGGCUGUGCAUUUUAGAAAUAUACACAUUUUGUUUAGAUAAUUGGCUUUUAAGUUAAACUUUGUCAUGUUUAUAUGAAAGUCUCUUUUGAUAAUGCCAAUUAUAGUUUUUCAUUGUUCUGAAUAGCACACUAUAGGUGUUAUUUGACUAUAUACCAUGGUACUAUAAAAUCUGAUAUCUAUAGCUAGAAAAACAGUUAAUUAAAAAUAUUAGAGAUUUGUGUCACUUAUCACUAAUUAAGUUUAAGUUGAAUGCUCGUCAUAAAUUAAAUAUAAAUAGUAUUUCUAUCGAGGUUCAACGUGAAGAAAAUGUAAGAAAUGAAUGAAGUCUUACAUCGAUAGUUCCUAAUUAACAAAAUGAGUAUCUGCUAUUAUAAUUGUGUGUGUUUUAGUGAUUUUCAAAACAAUUUUGCCAUUUACAUUCCACACUUUAGAAAUAGAACUAAAAAAAAAAUUACUAGUUGAAUUUUUUUUUUUAAAAGUUCUAUAUUGUUUAAUAGAACAAAAGCAUUAAUAUAGAUUGCCAUAUAAUCGUCGACCAAUUGAAAAAUUGUUUCUAAAUACCUCCCAUGUUAAAUAAUAUAACUAGAUUUUGAAUUUAAUUUUUAUUAAAUAAAUAAUUUUUAAGUUGUUUUAUCAUAAUGAUUGAGUUUGAAGCAGCAUUUUUAUAUCCAACCCUGACUGAGGGUCCCAUCGGUAGACUCGACGACCCAUAAUAUAAUCCAGUUCGCAUUUAUAAAAAAUAUGGUAAACCUAAUAACAAUCCAAAAAUCUGCUAUUAACCCGUAAUACGAUACCGAUUGAUCUCAUAUAAACUCAGAAAACAUGAUUAAAUUUUUGAUUAAAUUUUUCAUAUAUUUAGGAAACUAAAAUUGAAUAAAUU